rnacentral:tRNA from 1 species
UACAUUUUGGUGUAUGGUGCAUAGUAAUUUUUGAUGUUUCUGGUAAUAGUUUAAUUCUGUUAGGUGUUU